AAGAGCUUUUGGCAUUUAGCAUGGUUGUUACCUUGUCUUGCUUCUUCUGUGCCAAUCAGUCACUGAAAACUGCAUUUUAAAUUAGUCACAGACUCACAUACAUCACUCAAGACAAUUUAGGUACUCCUGGAUGAGCUUUUGCAGUCAAAGGGGUCCUUUGUUCUAUUUUCAAAUGCUAUAAAAUGGAAGUAAUGAUUAGAAAAACAAUAUAAGAACCCAACCUGAAUAUUGUGACCUGAGAUGCUCUACAGGGUUAUUUCAUGCCCUGUUAUCUAAGUUUAUUUAUUUAUUUAUUGUUUUCCUCUUUUACCUCUUUCUUGGUAACAAUACGUACGUUUGCAGUGAUCACAGCAGUCUCCCUCCAUAGAAACUGUUGACCAGAAUUGUCUGCACUUGCCUUGAGACAACUAAUGACCGGGAUGGAUGUGUGCAAUUGCACCUGUGAUUUGAGAAUGUGCUUCUUGAAACAGAGUGCUUCAAAACAAGGACAGGGAAUACCAUUGAUUGCAGGACACCAUGCUAAGGCUCUGAAGAAAGAACCAUGUCCACUCCUCAGCUCUGUCUGCCAAGAGUGACAUCAGAGACGUCCUGAGAUCUCUCGUCCACGUUUCCAUGUUGAAGUGACCAACGUGUGCCUGACCCUGUGAUACUGCAAAGUGCCCCUGAGACGGACCCCUCAAACCUGGCACUUGGAACAGUCU
rnacentral:lncRNA from 1 species